CUCCACAAUCUGCUGAUGUAUCUCAGAAACAAAAAGCUCGAGAACUUUCCUAAUAAUAACUCUGCUCAAAAUAUUGAUGUGGCAAUAGAGUUCUUGUUGGUUUUCCUUGAUGCUGAUGUGUCAAAUCAUGUUACUAAUGGUAACUGGUUGAAUGAGAUCUUGUUAAAGGUUGGAGCUAGAGCGGGUGAUAUUCUAUAUGUAAUUCAAAAGCUUCUUCCUAGAUCUAUAAACAAAGAUGACACUAGCAAAAUAAGUCUUUGCUCAAUACAGAUAUUGGAGAAGACUAAAGAUCUGAAGGAACAAGUUGAGAUGUACUACAAAUCCUUGAAAUUUACUCCAUCUUAGUUCCCCACCUUUGGUGGAUUGAGCUUUUUGGAUUCUCUUUUAAGGAAACUGAAUGAGAUGUCGAAAUCUAAGUCUGGUUUAGAUUUCCUGAUGAAACCACUUUUAGGGGAUUUGGAGAAAGAGCUAUCAUCUCUUACAUCCAUUUUAGAGAAGGAGCUAUCAUCCAUUUUCAGAGAUGUCGUGCACCAUGAACAUAAAAUUCCUAAAAGAUCUUCAGAGACGUACCAUCAAUUUGGCAUAUGAGGCUGAGGUUGCCAUUGACUCUAUUCUUGCUCAGUAUAAUGCUUUUUUGCAUAGUUUUUGCUCACUUCCUACAAUUUUAAAAGAGAUCAUGCAAAUUAAUGCAGAGGUGACUGAGAUGUGGUCAACGGACAUUCCUCUUAAUCCUCACUACGUGGCUGCUCCAUUUAAACAUCUACCAGCUCAACAUAGCAAUCCUGUGACUGAUGAGGAGGUAGUGGGUUUUGAGAAUAAAGCAGAAGAACUAAUUGAUUAUCUGAUUAGAGGUACAAAUGAGCUAGACGUCGUCCCAAUUGUAGGCAUGGGGGGACAAGGGAAAACGACAAUUGCUAGAAAGUUGUACAAUAAUGACAUCAUUGUUUCUCACUUUGAUGUUCGAGCAUGGUGCAUCAUUUCUCAAACAUAUAGCCGAAGAGAGCUAUUACAAGAGAUUUUCAGUCAAGUUAUGGGCUCCAAGGACAAGGAAGAUGCGGUAGGCGAACUUGCUGACAGGUUGAGGAAAAGCCUAAUGGGAAAGAGAUAUCUCAUUGUAUUGGAUGAUAUGUGGGAUUGUAUGGCAUGGGAUGACUUAAGGCUUUCUUUUCCAGAUGUUGGAAUGAGAAGCAGAAUAGUCGUAACAACUCGACAGUGGGUAAGCAAGUCAAGUACCAUACUGAUCCUUAUUCUCUUCCAUUCCUCACAACAGAAGAGAGUUGCCAAUUGUUGCAGAAAAAAGUGUUUCAAAAGGAAGAUUGCCCGCCUGAACUACAAUAUGUGAGUCAAGCAGUUGCAGAAAAAUGCAAAGGACUCCCCCUAGUGGUUGUCUUGGUAGCUGGAAUAAUCAAAAAAAGGAAAAUGGAAGAAUCUUGGUGGAAUGAGGUGAAAUAUGCUUUAUUUGACUAUCUUGAUAGUGAGUGCGAAGAAUAUAGUCUGGCGACUAUGCAGUUGAGUUUUGAUAACUUACCCGAUUGUUUAAAGCCUUGUCUUCUUUAUAUGGGGAUGUUUUCGGAGGACGCAAGAAUUCCAGCAUCUAAAUUGAUAAGUUUAUGGAUUGCUGAAGGAUUCGUGGAGAACACUGAAUCUGGGAGAUUAAUGGAAGAGGAAGCUGAAGGUUACUUGAUGGAUCUCAUUAGCAGUAACGUGGUAAUUGUUUCAAAGAAAGGUUAUAAUGGUAAAGUCAAAUGCUGCCAGGUUCAUGAUGUUGUGCAUCACUUUUGCUUGGAGAAGAGUAGAGAAGAAAAGUUUAUGCUUGCAGUGAAGGGUCAAUAUAUCCAGUUUCAACCCUUGGAUUGGAAGGGAAGUUGAGUAAGCUUCAGUUUCAGUGAAGAGCUUUCCAAGUUUGCAUCUCUGGUUUCCAAAACACAGAAGCCUUUCCACCAACACUUGAGGUCUCUGAUAAUGAUAAAUAAUGUAGUAUCUUUUGAUAUGAUUCCCUUCUGUUGGAUUAGUGAAAUGCGACUUCUUAAAGUCUUGGAUUUGAGUUCUUACAGUGUGCUGUUUUUGUCGUUAGCUGCAUUCAAACCACUAAAUCAGCUGAAGUACCUCGCAGUUUGGGCAGGUGAAUUCUAUUUUGAUCCAGGAUCACAUCUGCCCCAUAUAGAAACUUUAAUUUUGAAGAAUUUUCCUAUUGUACGGUUACCAGUGUCUUUUUUGUAGAUGGAAAAAUCAAGGCAUGUUGAGAUUAGGGAAGCUGAAUUUGAUAAGCAGGGAUUCUUUGAAGGAUCCUCUAAAUUGGAAAAUUUGAGGAUAUUAAAGAAAAUUGUUGGAUUUCCAAUUGAUAGGUUGGAUGUGUUAUCAAGGAGCUGUCCUAAUCUUCAACAACUUCAUAUCAAAUUUGAGGAUGAUGAAGAGCCUUUUUGUCCCAAAUUGGAGAAUCUUACCCAGCUUCAAGAGCUUCAACUUUCCUUUGUGCAUCCCCGCAUUCUAUCCGGGUUACAGUUGCCUUCAAAUUUAAAACAAGUUGGUACUUGAAGGAAUUCAUAUAGAAAGUGCUAUUUCCUUCAUUGCGGAACUACCAAGCCUGGAGUAUCUCCAAUUACAAGAUGUGUGUUUUCCUCAAUCAGAAGAGUGGUGCCUGGGAGAUAUCACGUUCCAUAAACUUAAGUUGUUGAAACUGGUGCAGUUAGGUAUCUCAAGGUGGGAUGCCUCGGAGGAAUCAUUUCCCCUGCUUGAAACACUUGUUAUAAAAAUGUGUGGCGACCUAGAGGAGAUACCCCUUAGCUUUGCAUAUAUUCCAACGCUGAAACAGAUUAAAUUGAUUGGGUCCUGGAAAGAAUCUCUGGAGGAUUCAGCUGUGAGAAUGAAGGGAGAAAUCGAAGAGAUUGAAGGAUGUGAUCGUAUACACCUCGUCAAAGAACAGUCAGAUUGGUGAGGGUUUUAAUAGCUAAUUGUUGCAGCCAUGCUCAUACAGAAGUAUAGCCCAUUUUCUUUUAUUGUAACAUUACUACUAUUUGCUAUGUUUGUUUUUAUUGAUAAACUCUUUUUAUGUAUGAUUGGAGACAAAUAUAUAUCUGUUGGUCUUUCACUGAUUUCUUGUUUUUAUGCAGCUUUAUACUUUUGACCAAUUUCUCUCCACUUACAUCAGAUCAACCAUGUUGUUGUUGUUGAGUACUUCUUGAUUUUCUAUUUUGCUGAACUAUCCAGAAAAGCUUAAGGUUAAACUGCUUCUUGUUGCUUGAGGUGCAAUGAAUUUCAAAGUUUGGACAAAUCCUUUUUUGUGUCCUUUGAUAUAAAGCCAUCAAGAAAAUCCUUCUUAGAACAGAAUUCUCUUGUAUGAGUAGUUGGUUCGUGGUUGAACUAACACGCACAAUCAUUUCGCUCCUGAGUUGUCCGCUUGGGACCAGAGAACUGGUGUUAACACACCAAUUCUAAUCCACCUAACAUAGACCAAAAUCAAAACUCUCUAUUAGGUGCAGCUUUUUGAAGUGCGAUUUCUGAUACUUUUUACAUCGUUCUAGUGUUAGAAAUUUCCACUGAACUUCAAACUGAUCUAAUUGUAUAGACGAGAGGGAGUUGCUCGGAUGGUAAGCACCCCUCACUUCCAACCCGAAGGUUGUGAGUUCGAGUCACCAAGGGAGCAAAAGGGGUGGGAGCUCCUAGGGAGGGUUAAAAAAAAAAAAUAAAAAAAAAAAAUCUAAUUGUAUAAUCCUCUUCUGUAAAUUGAGUGACUUUCUUUUGGGGUAUGGUGAAAGUUUAAGUAGCCAACCAAUUGAGCUAGUACAUGCUUUGUUGGAUAAUUUAAAAUAUUUGUACUAAUUAGUAUGGAACACGCGUGUUUGAUGACUAGUUAUUGAUACAAGCACAUAUAAAUUAUGCUUGAUUUACCAUUUCCUAUAGAAAGAAUGAAUACAUAAAAUGAAAAUUAUCGUAAGGUCUACGAUGUACGUAAUUUGAAUAGGUCAAUAGGAAUGAAACUCAGGAAGUUGUGGUACAAUUACCACAAUUAAUUAAUUAAGCAAUAAUUGUUGUUUAGUCUUCAUCCUACCAUUAUUAAUAUUUCAGAGCUCAUAUUAUCAGUCAAUAAGCCAAUAGGAAAGAAACGAUAACAAGUAUAUAAGUUAUAAUAAAGCAAUAAUUGUUCGCAGUGGCGAAUUUAGGUGCAAAAAAUAGGGCACCCGAACCCGUGGUCUCUUCGUAAAAUUAGAUAUUUUAUGUAUAUAUUUUCUAACAUUUGUAUAAUAUUAUAUUCUUGCACCCGUACUAUAAAAAUUUUAGUUGAUCCACAUGGUUAAAUGUUGAGCUUUUGACUUUGAGGACUAAAGAUCAAUUCCCACUUAAUACAUUUUUCUUGGUGCACCCAUGUUCGGAUCAUCCUAGAUUCGCCUCUGAUUGUUGGUUACCUAGUAUUAGAUAAAUUAUUUAUGCAAAAAGUCAGAGCUCAUACAUACACUCUGAUUGUGCCUUUUUAAACUUGAAUUAUUCUUUGAUCUUAUCAGCUAUCUCUCUACAAGACAACACCUUGUGGCUGCAGGCAAAUUGAAUUCAUGGUCAUUGAGGUGAGUUUUUUUUAACGUACCUCCUACGAUUUUUAGAAAAUUUUCAAGAAAUUAUUUAUCCACAGUAAUUGUUUAUAUCAAGCCAUGAAAAUUUAUGAUAGUUAAGUGGUUUAAUGCGGUGAGAUUGCAUGUUAAUUACCGAAUUUGGUGGCUUAAAGGAAAGAGAGCUGAGUAACUUCGCCCACCAAGGCUUAAACAAAUAGGAAAGGAAUCACCUACUUCUAUCAUUUUUUCUCCGCUGGUGUGAACCUGAGACUUCGUGGUUCUCCAUCCAUUUUAUUGGGCUACAAGGUCACACUGUUGGAUGCAACGUUAUAUCUGAAAAUUCGUGGGCAUAUAUUGUUGAUCUGAUCAUUUCUAUGACUUCUGUUUUUAUCUUACUCUUGAAUCUUUAGAACUUUUCUUCGGUGGAACUUAAAUGUAAUUUUACUUAUAGUUAUCAUUUCCUUUGUUUCUUUCUAGAAUUGAAUACGAAAUUGGAGAUAUAAAAAAGGAGAUAGGAGACAAAAGUACGCGCUUGAGUGAUUGUAAGACUUGAGCUGAACUUGUGUUAGGUACUUUCCUUCUUUUGCAAAUCGUUAAGUUGGUUUCAAUUAUUAGCUGAAGUGAAAAAAUGUACUGAACUUGCGGGAAUUUUCUACUAUAUUUUCAGGAAAAUGGCUCAAAUUAAUGACAUUGACGAUGUGUUAUAUCACCUAAGAAGGAUCAAGAGUCAAGGUGAUCAGAGUAGCAUCAAGAUUGAUCAGAUUGAGAAACUUGAAAUGGAGCUAAGAAUGUUUAGAACCUUUAUAAAGUAUUAUCAUAUUCUUUUGCAUGAUUUCUUUGUCAAACCCACAAAGAUCGCCAAAUUGAUCGUGAAAAUGCUUCACCGGGUAUUUGAUGGAAUUCCAUAUGAAUGUAAAACUAACCUUGAUCAGGAAAGACUGGUAGCACAGUUAUUGAAUUUCAUAGAUGAAGGUAAUUCCAGUUUGAGGUACAAUUAUGAGUUCAUGAAUGAUUCUUAUCUAUCAGAUUAUAUGGAUUGCCUCGGAAAGAAUCUAAAUGAUGUACUGAUAAUGUGCCUGAAAUUGGAUAGGUCUGAUCCUUCUUGGACGAAUGAAAAAAUCCUUCACUAUAAUCGAUUUAUAAAGCAACUGAAAAUUGUUCAAAAGAAAAUGAGAUUUUUGAGAUACUUAUAUGCCACAGAGAUAAAUGGUUACAUCGACCAUGAGAAGCUGGAAUGUUUGGAGACUCGAAUUCAGUUCAUGGCUAAUAAUGUGGGACAGUUUUGUCAUGCUUUUUCGAUUAAUGUAUCUGAGUUUGAAGAUGAUACAGAUGAGGAUGAGGAUGAGGAUGACAAGGAUGAGCAAGAAUACAUGAAUAAACCUCCAUAUCUGUUAUGUCUAAUUGAGCUAGUGGAGAAUAGUCAUUGCACUAGUAGCGUCUACGAGCCUCCCGCUUCGGUACCAUCUCCUUUUUUACCAGCCGAGCUGCCCUGAAAUGAAGAAGAUUUUUCUUGGUGAGCUAAAGGCUUCAAAGUUCACUCAGUUAGAAACUUUCAAGAACAAGAAAUUACCAAAAGGAUUUUCACAUCAUCUCCGUAGUCUGCUGGUGUAUCUAAAAAACAAAAAGCUCCCAAUCUUUCCUACUAAUGUCUCAACCCAAAAUAUUGAUGUGGCAAUAGAUUUCUUGUUUGUGUUUCUUGAUGAUGAUGGGUCAAAUCAUGCUAUUAAUAGUAAGAUGAUGAAUGAGGUCUUCGAAAAGGUUGUAACCAUAGUGGGUGAUGUUCUAUAUGUAAUUCAAAAGCUUCUUCCUAGAUCUGUAAACAUAGAUGACAUGACUAGCAAAACAAAUAUUUGCUCGAUACAGAUAUUGGAGAAAAUUAAAGAUCUGAAGGCACCAAUGGAGACGUACUACAAAUCCUUAAAGUUCAGUACUCCAUCUCAGUUUCCCACUAUUGGUGGAUUGAGUUUUCUGGCUUCUCUUUUAAGGAAACUGAAUGAGAUGUCGAAAUCUAAAUCAGGUUUAGAUUUCCUGAUGAAGCCUCUUUUUGGUAACUUGGAGAAAGAGCUAUCAGCCCUGACAUCCAUUUUAGAGAAGGAGUUGUCAUUUUUAUCAUCCAUUUUCAGAGAUAUCGCAAAGGUGCACCAUGAACAUGAAAUUCUGAAAGCUCUUCACAGGCAUACUAUCAAUUUGGCAUAUGAAGCUGAAGUUUCCAUUGACUCUAUUCUUGCUCAAUAUAAUGUUUUUUGGCAUAUUUUCUGCUCACUUCCUGCAAUCUUGAAAGAGAUUAAGCAAAUCAGUUCGCAGGUGACUAAGAUGUGGUCAGCAGACGUUGCUCUUAAGCCUUGCUAUGUGGUAGCGCCAUCUAAACACCUGCCAACUCAACAUAGCAAUCCAGAGACUGAUGAGGAGAUAGUAGGUUUUGGGAAAGACACAGAAAAAAUGCUUCAGUAUCUGAUUAGAGGUACAAAUGAGCUAGACGUCGUCCCAAUUGUAGGCAUGGGGGACAAGGGAAAACCACAAUUGCUAGAAAGUUGUACAAUAAUGACAUCAUUGUUUCUCGCUUUGAUGUUCGAGCAUGGUGCAUCAUUUCUCAAACAUAUAGCCGAAGAGAGCUAUUAAAAGAGAUUUUCAGUCAAGUUACGGGCUCCAAGGACAAGGAAGAUGAGGUAGGCGAACUUGCUGACAGGUUUAGGAAAAGCCCAAUGGGAAAGAGAUAUCUCAUUGUAUUGGAUGAUAUGUGGGAUUGUAUGGCAUGGGAUGACUUAAGGCUUUUCUUUUUCCAGAUGUUGGAAUGAGAAGCAGAAUAGUCGUAACAACUCGACUUGAAGAAGUGGGUAAGCAAGUCAAGUACCAUACUGAUCCUUAUUCUCUUCCAUUCCUCACAACAGAAGAGAGUUGCCAAUUGUUGCAGAAAAAAGUGUUUCAAAAGGAAGAUUGCCCGCCUGAACUACAAUAUGUGAGUCAAGCAGUUGCAGAAAAAUGCAAAGGACUGCCCCUAGUGAUUGUCUUGGUAGCUGGAAUAAUCAAAAAAGGAAAAUGGAAGAAUCUUGGUGGAAUGAGGUGAAAGAUGCUUUAUUUGACUAUCUUGAUCAUGAGUCGGAAGAAUAUAGUCGGGUGACUAUGCAGUUGAGUUUUGAUAACUUACCCGAUUGUUUAAAGCCUUGCCUUCUUUAUAUAGGGAUGUUUCCGGAGGACGCAAGAAUCCCUGUGUCUAAAUUGAUAAGUCUAUGGAUUGCGGAAGGAUUUGUGCAGAACAUUGAAUCAGGGAGAUUGAUGGAAGAGGCAGCUGAAGGUUUCUUGAUGGAUCUCAUCCACAGUAACGUAGUAAUGGUUUCAAAGAGAGAAUAUAACGGGAAAGUCAAAUACUGCCACGUUCAUGAUGUAGUGCUUCACUUUUGCUUGGAGAAGAGUAGAGAAGAAAAGUUUAUGUUGGUUAUGAAGGGAAAUUGUAGCAAAUUUCAACCUUUUGAUUGGAAGGAAAGUCGAAUGAGGUUCAUUUUGACUGAAAAGCUUUCAAAGUUUGCAUCUCUGGAAUCCAAAACACGGAAGUCUUUCCACCAACACUUGAGGUCACUGAUAAUGACAAAUGGAUUACUAUAUUUUAAUUGGAUUGUCUUCCCUCAGGUUAGAGAAAUGAGACUUCUUAAGGUCUUGGAUUUGACUUCCUUUGAUGUCAAAUACUUGUCGUCAGCUACAUUGAAACCACUGAUUCACCUGAAAUACCUUGGAGUUAGCGCAUGUGAAUUUUAUUUUCAUCCUGAACCACAUCUUUCCCAUCUUGAAACUUUAAUUGUGAAGGAUUUAUUAUUCAGGUAUACAGAGUUACCAGAUAUUUUUUGGAAAAUGGAACAAUUAAGGCAUGUUGAUAUUAAUAAAGCUGAAUUUUAUUUGGAAGAGGGGAUGAUUGAAGAAUCCUGUAAAUUGAAUAAUUUGAGGAUAUUAAGGCGAGUUCGAAUUUACAAUGCUGCUAGUGAGGAUGUGUUAAUACAGAGUUGUCCUAAUCUUCAACAACUGUACAUCACAUUUGAGGAGAGUGUACCUGGAGAGCCUUUCUGUUUCACAUUGGAGAGUCUUAUCCAGCUUCAAAUACUUAGCCUUUCCUGUGAUUGUUGUCUCUCAGGUUUACAGUUGCCUUCGAAUUUAAAAAAGUUGGUACUAAGAGGGAGUAAUAUAGAAAGUGCAAUUCCCGUCAUUGCAGGACUACCAAGCCUGGAGUAUCUCCAAUUAUGGAACUCAGAUUAUUUUCAAUCAGAAGAGUGGAGCCUCGGAGAUAUCACAUUCCAUAAACUUAAGUUGUUGAAAAUGGUGUUCUUACGUAUCUCAAGGUGGGAUGCCUCAGAUGAAUCAUUUCCCCUGCUUGAAACACUUGUUAUGAAAAAGUGCACUGAGCUAGAGGAGAUCCCCCUUAGCUUUGCCGAUAUUCCAUCAUUGAAACAGAUUAAGUUGAUUGGAUCCUGCAAAGAAUCUCUGGUGGCUUCAGCUAUGAAAAUUAAGGAAGAAGUCGAAGCUAUUGAAGGAUGUGACCGUCUUAACCUCUUCAAAGAACAGUCAGAUUGGGGAGAAUUUUGAUAGCUAAUUGUUGCAGCCAUGCUCAUCCUCUUAUAUUGUAACACUAGUACUGAUUGUUAAGUUUGUUUUGAUUGAUCAACUCUUUUUAUGAUUGGAGAUAAAUAUAUAUCAGAUGGUCUUUCACAACCUGUCAAAUCAUUGUUCCAUUUCUAUAAUCUUUCACCAGGUAAUGGGCAUGAUCUUGGUCAUUUCUAGUUAUCUUUAGCAAAAACAGUUAUCUCUUUCGAAAUGACAUUUUUGGCUACGAUUCUUGCAAUAUAUUAGCUACUAAAAAAAAAUUUCUCUUGUAUGGGUAGUUGGUUCGUGGUUCAACUAACAUGCACAAUCAUUUCACUCCCAAGUUGUUAACUUCGGACCAAAGAAUCGGCAUUAAGACACCAACUCUAGCCUACCUAAAAUAGACCGAAAUCAAAACUCAUUAUUAAGUACAUCUUUUUGAAGUGCAAUUUCUGAUAUUUUUUACAUGAUCUAAGUGUCUAGUGCAGUUCUUUUUUUGUUGCUUUUUUAAAAAAAUAAAAAAUAGGAGACUUCCUGAUGUUUGAGAUUAAACUUUUUUCAUUAUUUUCAUCAAAGUUAUUAAGAAAAUUAUUAAAUACUUGCGGAGAUUAAAAUCUUAACUUUUGGCAAACUUAUAAGACUCAAAUUAUUCAAUGCAUACUUAAAAGGACUAUUUUGAAUCUUUCUCAAACACAAGGGAUCAUUUUUGUCGCUUAAAAAAUAUUGUGUAUUUCAGUUCUCCCCUUGCAAUGUUCUACCCUGGAAAAUUGUAGAAGAAGAGUGUUGAGAGAAUUCAUCAGAGAAAUCCAAUGUGGGAGUGUUUCACUCCUCAAUGUGGGACUUUAUUACGUCACGAAUUCAAAUUGGAUCGGGCUCCAACGUGGAUACCGAACACUGGAUGGGAAACAAAACAAUAUAUGUAGUACGACAUGAAAUGAAUAAAUAAGGGGAUUUGGCCCUUAAGAAACAAAAAAAUCAAUGUUUUGUAUUGUGAUUGGGCCUGUCCUGAGAACAGACUCCAUUCACAAAAUAUAUGGAAGAAUUAUCACCACUCCUUUUUUAUCCUUGUUUGAUUUAUGACAUAUGAUUUAUCCUUUUUUCAAUUAUGUUUUUUUCAAAAAAUAUAAAAACUUAUUCAAGUUUAUAUUUUGUAAAAAAAACAAAUCAUUAUUUUCAGUUUUACAAAAAUAAACUCAUGUUCGACGUGAAUAGAUUGUCCGUCGUAUCAUGUGAAAGAAUUACUAGUUACUACUAUUGUUGACUAGUGGAUUUUUAUAAGUUUAUGUACAUUUGAAAGUUAAAAGAAACAUAAAUAUAUGUAAUUCAUCGAUGUGAUGCUUUAGAUAUUAUGAUAUCUUGUUUACGAACGAUGAUUUACUCAUUCGAUAAGAUUGCAUAAGAAUUGAUUUUCAUAGUUUUCACAACUUGUGUAUUUUCAUAUUUAUGAGAAAAAAUAUAACUUCAUGUCCGACCCAAUACCCAACCAUAAAAUCCCUUAAUUAUAUGGUAAGCAAGUAUCAUAGAAGUGUAUAGCUUAAGUACGAAACUAACAAACCACAUAAAUUUUUGGGGGAUUUUCCGAAAGAGUCAUCUGGUGUGAAGUAUGAAGUAUAAUAAUUUUGAGAUAAAAUAUAGAAUUAUUUUAUCCUGCGUUUGGUUGGAGGCAUGUUAGGUACAUAGUCCUUGGAUUAUGUAUCCCAUCAUUUAUACCAUAGUGAUGGAAUAUAUAAUUAAUUAUUAUCCCAUAUACAUAAUGAAAUAACGUAUUCCGGAAUAAUAACUCUCGAAACAACUUGUUCCAACCAAACAACCCCUAAAGAAAAAGGCAAAUAAUAUAGGUGUAUUAUUGAGUCAUUUUACAGCUACCACCUAAAGCAACUUGCUACUACAAUUCAUCUCUUGUUAGGUAUAAGAAUUAUUAGAGAGAGAGAGCAGAAGACUCUUCCUUCUUCCUUCAAACCUUCAUCCAUUUUAUUUCAAUAAACUUUUUUCUUAUUUCACCUAUUACGUAAACUUGGAAAUAUAUCUUUGUUGGAAUCCAAAUCUGAGAAAUUGAAGAUUCUUGUUUACUAACUGUAAGUCAUCUUCUUCAUGAAUUACUUUUUUCCCAUAGAUACAGAAUUAGAGAGUUGAUUUCUCAAAUGGUUCACUCAACUAUUAGUUAGUAUCUCAUAAAAUUGAAAAUGAAAGAAAGACGAUUUUUCUGAGAUAAUAAUUAGUUAAGUGACAUUUGACAAUAUGAAAAUGGUACAUAAGAUGUAUAACUUUUCACAAGCAUUAACAUAGCUUCAAACACUAGAUAUAUUGAAAGACAUGAACCUAAUUCCAUGAGUUGGUGAACUUGCAGGAAUUUUUCUGCAGAAAAUGAAUGAAAAUGAAAUUGAGGAAAUGUUAGAUCACCUAAGAAGGAUCAAAAUUGAAGGUAACCUGAGUACCUACAUGAUUUGGGAUAUUCAGGAUCUUGAAAUUGUGCUAAGAGUUUUUAGAACCUUUAUAAAGUAUCAUGUUCUUUUACCUGAUUGUUUAAUCAAACUCACAAAAGAAAGCCAAAAUGGACUGUGGAAACGCUUCAUCGGGUAUUUAAUGGGAUUCCGGAUGAAUGUAAAACUAACCUUAAUCUGAAAAGGCUAGAAUCACAUUUGUUGGAAUUCUUUGAAGGUAACUCCAGUUUAAGUUACAAUUAUGAGUUGAAUGAUUUUGAUCUGUCGAAAUAUAUGGAUUGUCUGGAAAAAAUUCUAAGUGAUGUACUAAUGAUGUUCCUGGAUAAGGAUAGGUCCUGUCAUCUCAAAAAAAAACUUGUAAUACAUCUAUCUAUGAAGAAACUGAAAAUUGUUCAAAAGAAAAUGAGAUUUUUGAGAUAUAUAUAUGCCACAGAGAUAAAUGGUUACGUCAACUAUGAUAAGCUGGAAUGUUUGGAGACUCGAAUUCAAUUUAUGGCUAACAAUGUGGGACAAUAUUGUUUGGCCGUAUUAGACUAUGUUGUUGUUGUUGAAGUUAAUGAUGAAAUUGAUUUCUUUAAUAAACCUCCUUAUCUAUUAUCAUUGCUUGUGUUUUGUGGAGCUGGAAAUGAAGAAGAUUUUUCAUGGUGAACUAAAGGCUUCAAAGUUUACUCAAUCAAAACCAUUCAAGGACAAGAAAUUACCAAAAGAAUUUUCACAUCAUCUCCACAAUCUGUUGAUGUAUCUCAAAAACAAAAACUUGAGAACUUUUCCUAAUAAUAUCUCUGCUCAAAAUAUUGAUGUGGCAAUAGAAUUCUUGUUGGUUUUCCUUGAUGCUGAUGUGUCAAAUCAUGUUAUUAAUGGUAACUGGUUGAAUGAGAUCUUGUUAAAGGUUGGAGCUAUAGCGGGUGAUGUUCUAUAUGUAAUUCAAAAGCUUCUUCCUAGAUCUAUAAACAAAGAUGACAAUAGCAAAAUAAGUCUUUGCUCGAUAGAGAUAUUGGAGAAGUCUAAAGAUUUGAAGGCACAAGUUGAGACGUGCUACAAAUCCUUAAAAUUUACUCCAUCUCAGUUCCCCACCUUUGGUGGAUUGAGCUUUCUGGAUUCUCUUUUAAGAAAAUUGCAUGAUAUGUUAUGUCGAAAUCUAAGUCUGGUUUAGAUUUCCUGAUGAAAC
rnacentral:lncRNA from 1 species